GCUUAAAACUAGGCGGCACUUU
rnacentral:miRNA from 1 species